UGGCCCCGCCCCGUCCUAUUCGGGCUCCCGCCUCUGUUCAGGACACUGGGUCCCCUAGGAGCCUCCCCAGGCUUAAUGAUUGUCCAGAAGGUGGCUAUAAAGGGAGCUUGGGAGGCAGGGUGGAGGAGGGAGCAGAAAAAACCCAACUCAGCAGAUCUGGAAACUGUGAGAGCGGCAAGCAGGAGCUGUGGUCAGAGGCUGUGCGUCUUGGCUGGUAGGGCCUGCUCUUUUCUACCAUGGCAGCCCAGGGCUAUGGCUAUUAUCGCACUGUGAUCUUCUCAGCCAUGUUUGGGGGCUACAGCCUGUAUUACUUCAAUCGCAAGACCUUCUCCUUUGUCAUGCCAUCAUUGGUGGAAGAGAUCCCUUUGGACAAGGAUGAUUUGGGGCUCAUCACCAGCAGCCAGUCGGCAGCUUAUGCUAUCAGCAAGUUUGUCAGUGGGGUGCUGUCUGACCAGAUGAGUGCUCGCUGGCUCUUCUCUUCUGGGCUGCUCCUGGUUGGCCUGGUCAACAUAUUCUUUUCCUGGAGCUCCACAGUACCUGUCUUUGCUGCCCUCUGGUUCCUUAAUGGCCUGGCCCAGGGGCUGGGCUGGCCCCCAUGUGGGAAGGUCCUGCGGAAGUGGUUUGAGCCAUCUCAGUUUGGCACUUGGUGGGCCAUCCUAUCAACCAGCAUGAACCUGGCUGGAGGGCUGGGCCCUAUCCUGGCAACCAUCCUCGCCCAGAGCUACAGCUGGCGCAGCACGCUGGCCCUGUCUGGGGCACUGUGUGUGGUUGUCUCCUUCCUCUGUCUCCUGCUCAUCCACAAUGAACCUGCUGAUGUUGGACUCCGCAACCUGGACCCCAUGCCCUCUAAGGGCAAGAAGGGCUCCUUGAAGGAGGAGAGCACCCUACAGGAGCUGCUGCUGUCCCCUUACCUGUGGGUGCUCUCCACUGGUUACCUUGUGGUGUUUGGAGUAAAGACCUGCUGUACUGACUGGGGCCAGUUCUUCCUUAUCCAGGAGAAAGGACAGUCAGCCCUUGUAGGUAGCUCCUACAUGAGUGCCCUGGAAGUUGGGGGCCUUGUAGGCAGCAUCGCAGCUGGCUACCUGUCAGACCGGGCCAUGGCAAAGGUGAGCGGGCAGAAGGGACAGGAAGGAGAAGGGCGGGACUGUCCAACUAUGGGAACCCUCGCCAUGGCCUGUUGCUGUUCAUGAUGGCUGGCAUGACAGUGUCCAUGUACCUCUUCCGGGUAACAGUGACCAGUGACUCCCCCAAGCUCUGGAUCCUGGUAUUAGGAGCUGUAUUUGGUUUCUCCUCGUAUGGCCCCAUUGCCCUGUUUGGAGUCAUAGCCAAUGAGAGCGCCCCUCCCAAAUUGUGUGGCACCUCCCACGCCAUUGUGGGACUCAUGGCCAAUGUGGGCGGCUUUCUGGCUGGGCUGCCCUUCAGCACCAUUGCCAAGCACUACAGUUGGAGCACAGCAUUCUGGGUGGCUGAAGUGAUUUGUGCAGCCAGCACAGCUGCCUUCUUCCUCCUACGAAACAUCCGCACCAAGAUGGGCCGAGUGUCCAAGAAGGCUGAGUGAAGAGAGUCCAGGCUCCGGAGCACCAUCCCACGGUGGCCUUCCCCCUGCACGCUGUGGGGGAGAAAAGGAGGGGCCUGCCUGGCUAGCCCUGAACCUUUCACUUUCCAUUUCUGCGCCUUUUCCCUCACCUGGGUGGCACUGGAAGUUAUCAGUGGCUAGUGAGGUCCCAGCUCCCCGAUCCUAUGCUCUAUUUAAAAGAUAACCUUUGGCCUUAGACUCCAUUAGCUCCUAUUUCCUGCCUUCAGACAAACAGGAAACUUCUGCAGUCAGGAAGCCUCCUGUACCCUUCUUCUUUUCCUAGGCCCUGUCCUGCCCCCAUCCCCACCAGAAGUGAGGCUAUCCCUGCAGCUGCAGGGCACUAAUGACCCUUGACUUCUGCUGGGCCCUAAGUCCUCUCAGCAGUGGUCGACUGCUGUUGCCAAUACCUCAGACUCCAGGGAAAGAGAGGAGGCCAUCAUUCUCACUGCACCACUAGG
rnacentral:sRNA from 1 species